GUCUACAGCCACGCCACCCUGAACGAGCCCGAUCUCGUCUGAUCUUGGAAGCUAAGCAGGGUUGGGCCUGGUUAGUAUUUGGAUGGGAGACCACCUAGGAAGAUCCGGAGCUAUAGGAG
rnacentral:rRNA from 1 species